CCUACGGGUGGCAGCAGUGAGGAAUAUUUGUCAAUGGGCGCGAGCCUGAACCAGCCAAGUAGCGUGAAGGAUGACUGCCCUACGGGUUGUAAACUUCUUUUAUAAAGGAAUCAAUUGAUGCACUUUUGCCUUUUUGUAUGUACUUUAUGAAUCAGGAUCUGCUAACUCCGUUCCAGCAGCCGCGUUAAUACGGAGGAUCCGAGCGUUAUCCGGAUUUUUUGGGUUUAAAGGGAGCGUAGAUGGGUUGUUAAGUCAGUUGUGAAAGUUUGCGGCUCAACAGUAAAAUUGAAAUUGAUACUGGCAGUCUUGAGUACAGUUGAGGUAGGCGGAAUUCGUGGUGUAGCGGUGAAAUGCUUAGAUAUCACGAAGAACUCCGAUUGCGAAGGCAGCUUACUAAACUGCCACUGACAUUGAUGCUCGAAAGUGUGGGUAUCAAACAGGAUUAGAUACCCUUGUAGUC
rnacentral:rRNA from 1 species